rnacentral:tRNA from 1 species
CAAAGAAUAGUUUAUAAAAAUAAUAAUUUUGGAGAUUAUAGAUAAAGUAUAUCUUUUUCUUUGA